rnacentral:rRNA from 1 species
UACACGACCGUACCGCAAACCGACACUGGUGCGCGAGAUGAGUAUUCUCAGGCGCUUGAGAGAACUCGGGAGAAGGAACUCGGCAAAUUGACACCGUAACUUCGGAAGAAGGUGUGCCUUUAGUAGGUGAAGUCCCUCGCGGAUGGAGCCCAAUGAGGUUGCAAAGAAUCGGUGGCUGCGACUGUUUAAUAAAAACACAGCACUCUGCAAACACGAAAGUGGACGUAUAGGGUGUGACGCCUGCCCGGUGCUGGAAGAUUAAGUGAUGGGGUGCAAGCUCUUGAUCGAAGUCCCAGUAAACGGCGGCCGUAACGAUAACGGUCCUAAGGUAGCGAAAUUCCUUGUCGGGUAAGUUCCGACCUGCACGAAUGGCGUAACGAUGGCCACACUGUCUCCUCCCGAGACUCAGCGAAGUUGAAAUGUUUGUGAUGAUGCAAUCUCCCCGCGGAAAGACGGAAAGACCCCAUGAACCUUUACUGUAGCUUUGUAUUGGACUUUGAACGGAUCUGUGUAGGAUAGGUGGGAGGCUUUGAAGCCGGGUCGCUAGAUCUGGUGGAGCCAACGUUGAAAUACCACCCUGGUGCGUUUGAGGUUCUAACCUAGGCCCGUUAUCCGGGCCGGGGACAGUGCAUGGUAGGCAGUUUGACUGGGGCGGUCUCCUCCCGAAGCGUAACGGAGGAGUUCGAAGGUACGCUAGUUACGGUCGGACAUCGUGACGAUAGUGCAAUGGCAUAAGCGUGCUUAACUGCGAGACUGACAAGUCGAGCAGAUGCGAAAGCAGGACAUAGUGAUCCGGUGGUUCUGUAUGGAAGGGCCAUCGCUCAACGGAUAAAAGGUACUCUGGGGAUAACAGGCUGAUACCGCCCAAGAGUUCAUAUCGACGGCGGUGUUUGGCACCUCGAUGUCGGCUCAUCUCAUCCUGGGGCUGUAGCCGGUCCCAAGGGUAUGGCUGUUCGCCAUUUAAAGAGGUACGUGAGCUGGGUUUAAAACGUCGUGAGACAGUUUGGUCCCUAUCUUCCGUGGGCGCUGCAGAUUUGAGGAAGCCUGCUCCUAGUACGAGAGGACCGGAGUGGACGCACCUCUGGUGUACCUGUUGUCACGCCAGUGGCAUUGCAGGGUAGCUAAGUGCGGAAGAGAUAACCGCUGAAAGCAUCCAAGCGGGAAACUCGUUUCAAGAUGAGAUCUGCCGGGGCCUUGAGCCCCCUGAAGAGUCGUUCUAGACCAGGACGUUGAUAGGUCAGGUGUGGAAGCGCAGUAAUGCGUUAAGCUAACUGAUACUAAUUGCUCGUGCGGCUUGACC